CCUACGGGGGGCAGCAGUGGGGAAUAUUGGACAAUGGGGGCAACCCUGAUCCAGCCAUGCCGCGUGUGUGAAGAAGGCCCUCGGGUUGUAAAGCACUUUCAGUGGGGAAGAACGCCUGGUGGUUAAUACCCAUCAGGAAAGACAUCACUCACAGAAGAAGCACCGGCUAACUCCGUGCCAGCAGCCGCGGUAAUACGGAGGGUGCGAGCGUUAAUCGGAAUUACUGGGCGUAAAGCGCGCGUAGGUGGCUUGAUAAGCCGGUUGUGAAAGCCCCGGGCUCAACCUGGGAACGGCAUCCGGAACUGUCAAGCUAGAGUGCAGGAGAGGAAGGUAGAAUUCCCGGUGUAGCGGUGAAAUGCGUAGAGAUCGGGAGGAAUACCAGUGGCGAAGGCGGCCUUCUGGACUGACACUGACACUGAGGUGCGAAAGCGUGGGUAGCAAACAGGAUUAGAUACCCCUGUAGUC
rnacentral:rRNA from 1 species